AACGCCACACGAGGAUACAAACAUCAACAUAUUCCUCAAAAGGAAAAACAACAGUCACAAGAAUCUUCUUGGAGAUUGAGAAAUAAACCAAUUCCAAGGUACCAAAAAUAUCAACCAGACUUGCAGGAACUCGCAAAGGGAGAAACCAUGCCACGACUAUGCAACCACCAAAUAAAGGUGUGCUGGGGAUUCGAAAACCAAAUAAAGGUUUUAUUGGAGAUCCAAGGUUCAAU
rnacentral:lncRNA from 1 species